GACGAACGCUGGCGGCGUGCUUAACACAUGCAAGUCGAACGGAAAGGCCCUGCUUUUGUGGGGUGCUCGAGUGGCGAACGGGUGAGUAACACGUGAGUAACCUGCCCUGGACUUUGGGAUAACUUCGGGAAACUGGGUCUAAUACCGGAUAGGAGCUCCUGCUGCAUGGUGGGGGUGGGAAAUUUUCGGCGGUUGGGGAGGUACUCGCGGCUUAGCAGCUUGUUGGGGGGGUAGUGGCUUACCAAGGCUUUGACGGGUAGCCGGCCUGAGAGGGUGACCGGACACAUUGGGACUGAGAUAGGGCAGAGACUUACACGGGAGGGCGCAGUGGGGAAUAUUGCACAAUGGGCGGACGUCUGAUGCAGAAGCGCCGUGUGCGGGAUGACGGCCUUCGUGUUGUACACCGUUUUCGCCUGUCACGAAGUGUGAGUGACGGUAAUGGGUAAAGAAGCACCGGCUAACUACGUG
rnacentral:rRNA from 1 species